rnacentral:rRNA from 1 species
GACAGAGGGGGCAAGCGUUGCUCGGAAUCACUGGGCGUAAAGGGCGCGUAGGCGGGAUGGCAAGUCAGUCGUGAAAUCUCUCGGCUCAACCGAGAAACGUCGGCUGAUACUGCCGUUCUUGAGGGAUGCAGAGGAGACUGGAAUUCCCGGUGUAGCGGUGAAAUGUGUAGAGAUCGGGAGGAACACCGGUGGCGAAGGCGGGUCUCUGGGCAGCUCCUGACGCUGAGGCGCGAAAGCCAGGGGAGCAAACGGG